rnacentral:rRNA from 1 species
CAUGCAAGUCGAACGGAAAGGCCCUUCGGGGUACUCGAGUGGCGAACGGGUGAGUAACACGUGGGUGAUCUGCCCUGCACUUUGGGAUAAGCCUGGGAAACUGGGUCUAAUACCGGAUAUGAUCAUCGGCUUCAUGGUCGGUGGUGGAAAGCUUUUGCGGUGUGGGAUGGGCCCGCGGCCUAUCAGCUUGUUGGUGGGGUAAUGGCCUACCAAGGCGACGACGGGUAGCCGGCCUGAGAGGGUGUCCGGCCACACUGGGACUGAGAUACGGCCCAGACUCCUACGGGAGGCAGCAGUGGGGAAUAUUGCACAAUGGGCGCAAGCCUGAUGCAGCGACGCCGCGUGAGGGAUGACGGCCUUCGGGUUGUAAACCUCUUUCAGUAGGGACGAAGCGCAAGUGACGGUACCUAUAGAAGAAGGACCGGCCAACUACGUGCCAGCAGCCGCGGUAAUACGUAGGGUCCGAGCGUUGUCCGGAAUUACUGGGCGUAAAGAGCUCGUAGGUGGUUUGUCGCGUUGUUCGUGAAAACUCACA